rnacentral:rRNA from 1 species
GUAGUCUCGCACAGAUGCAUAUCAAUAAGCGGAGGAAAAGAAACUAACAAGGAUUCCCCUAGUAACGGCGAGUGAAGCGGGAAGAGCUCAAAUUUGAAAUCUUAAAGGGUUUCCCUUUACGAAUUGUAGUUUAAAGAAGUGUUUUCUGUUGAGGUUUUGGUAAAAGUUCUUUGGAAUAGGACAUCAUAGAGGGUGAGAAUCCCGUAUUUGACCUUUACUUUCAACUUUGUGAUACACUUUCAAAGAGUCGGAUUGUUUGGGAAUGCAGUCCAAAAUGGGUGGUAAAUUUCAUCUAAAGCUAAAUAUUGGCGAGAGACCGAUAGCGAACAAGUACCGUGAGGGAAAGAUGAAAAGAACUUUGAAAAGAGAGUUAAACAGUACGUGAAAUUGUCAAAGGGAAGCGUUUGACACCAGUGUUGUUUUUCUGAAAAUCAAUCAAAGAACUGUUUAUGCUAAGUUGUUUAGACUUUAUCAGCUAUCUGUUUAGUUUUGAGCUUUUCUUUAAUGCACUUUUCAGUUAACAAGUCAACAUCAAUUUCUUCUGCUGUAAAAAAGCUUGAGGAAGGUGGCUUGAGAUUCGUCUUAAGUGUUUAUAGCCUCUUGCCUAUGCAGUCGGAGAGAUUGAGGUCUGCAGCGUAGAUCCUUCGGGGCUAAAUGCAUUUGUGCUAAGUUAUAACAUUUUAUAGACAACUUGUUGACUAUGAUUUGUCUUGUAGCUUACUCGCUUAUGUUAUUUUACCUACGCUUAGGAUGUUGAUCUGUAGUGCGUGCGC